CACUCUCUCACUCUCUCACUCUCUCUUUCUCUCCCUUACUGCAGAUUUUAAAAAGUUCAUGAAGUUGCAUCUCUCCUUAUAGAAGAACUCCAGCACCAUCAUAGAUUUAAUCUUUUGCUGUCAUUGAACUUGGGAAGCAGUUAGAUAAAAAAUUUACACUUUUUUUCCCAAGUGGAAUGAAAAAGGGACACUCAUAAUUAAACCACUACCACCUUUUAAAAUUCAUUUCUUUGUUAAAGAAUUAAAUUCUUUGUUAAAAUUAAAUUUAUUCUUUAACAUGUGUGCUACAGUCUUCCAUGUUUUUAUUUAACUCUGGAGUAUGGAGCUCAACUGCUCUCUCCUUGCAGACCUGAGUUUUUUGUGUCAGUUCUGGAAUGGGAGGCAGGUCACAGGGAACAUUUAUUUGGUGACAGUGUUUUUUGUUUUUUUGUUUUAAGAAAUCUUUUUUGUUUAUUGACAUCAAAUGAUUUUAACAUCCUGAAAUUCUGUGCUUGAAGUUAUAAAAUAGUCGUUCAAUGAAUUUUUGUCUUCUGGAUAUUUAACAUUGUUCUUUUGUCAUUUAUGAAGUAAAUUAAUUUGUAUCAAACUUAAAGAAGAAAUCUUCCAGGUAAGAAGUAGUUGAGAAUAACACAUUUAAAAAAAAAAUCUCAAGUAGGCUACUAUACUGUAAUAAGUAUUUGUUGAGAAGAUAAUCUUCAUGUGAGAGAAUAUUUUGAAAAUCACUAGGAAAGAAUCAUUUUAGAAUGGAAACAUGCAUCAUUUACCUUACUCUACAUUGUGAAAGUGUUCCUAACAUUCACGUUACAUUGGACCUUAAAUUUUUAUGACAGUUUUUCUCUAUGGGAAACUAAUACACAGAUGUUACACAAAUAGAAGCAUAGUACUGAACUAAAGAAAAGAAUGUUUUUCGCUUUUUGUGAUAUUACCUAGUAAAAUAGCUAACAAUUUUAUCCAAGAAAAAAACCUCAAAAACUCAAUCAGCACUCACUGCCUAGUGAUUUCUGCUUAGUACACUAGCUAGAAAAGAAAUAUUGUGAUUUUUACCAAAAACAGGUAACCUGGGGAGAGAAAUUACAUCCGGAUUAGACUAGGGAAAAGGCCACAAGGUCCCAUUAGGCUUCUAGUCUAUUCACUGAUCUCUUUAAGGACACUUCUAUCCUUUAGAUUAAAGGACGGGUUCCAGAGGACACCAGCACAUCUGGGCAAGGAGAGGGGGGGUUUUUUUGCUGAAAGCAGAGCCAGUAAAAAGAGUAGGAGCAUGAUGACCAGUUUUUAUCUAAGGUACAUCAGGAUAACCAGAGGCUAUUUCCUACUUUGCUGCUCCUUUUAACUAAAUAAGUUGGGAUUGCCCUAAUGAAUUUCCAAGGCUUUCAGAAUUUGUCAGAAUUUAUAACCUAAUGUAAGACACCUAACAUUGAGAACUCACCAUUCUGUGGGAUGCUGACCUCCUUUUGUCAGUUAUUUUCACAUCAGAUCUACCCAGGGACAGAAAUACCACUCUGCUUUCUCCUGAUAGCACCAAAUUAAGGCGAUACUGGGUGCAAAAUAAAUGCAGAAUUAAGCCCAUUUCUAUAGCGUAGAAAAAUGUCUUUUGUGGAUAUCUUUUCUAUAAACACAUGAUUUUAUCGUGUUAUCUGUGUUUUAUAACUGUUACUACACAUGCAUUUAUAUAGUUAAGUCAUAUCUCUAUGACUUGUGUCUAUGACUCACUUGGUGGUUUUACCUUAAGUGGAAUGACUAUUUCAGAAAACGUUGCUAGAAAGCAGAUGUCCUGGAAAGCGAAGGCUUUCCUGACACCUUCAGUAUGAAAUGAAACAGAAAGGAGUGUUUGUUGAAUAUCUGUUGUAUGACAGGCACUGCACUAACUGACAUUUCAUUUCUACGUAUAGGGGCCCUUCCGGGGGUGUUCCUUUGGACGGGGGAUGGGGGAAGGAAGGGAAGAGCUCAAAUGAUUGCACCUGCUGUGCUCCCACAGUCAUCAGUCUGGUCAUCCAGUACACCAGUCAAAAGGCCACCUGGAGCAACCUAUUUUCCUUGGCGCUACUUACAGAACCACAGGAUGUGAGAGUUGGAAGGAACCUCAGAGAUUCUCCUGUCCAACUUCUCAAAGGAGGCACCUGAGGCCCAGAGAAGAUGCCCCGGAAUAUCAGUUGCAGAGUUUGGCAGAAUGACUAAGAUGGUAACUUUAGGAAGAUGACUUCAGGUUGUUAGAAUCACCCUGAACUGAAGCAGCAGCAGCAUUCCUCAUGAGGGGACCCCCAGAUUAGCGAGUGACGGCACUUCUGGAGGCUUGUCCACCCUGGCUUCUAUCCCCCAUGCUCUGCCAAAAGUGCUCUCCAAGGUACCCAGUAACCUGCAUGCCACCUACUCCAGAGAGUGUUUCUGAGUUCUCAUCUUAACUCCUCACAAUAUCUGAGAAUCCCUCGAUUGCACAUGAAAGAAAACCCAACUCCAUUUGUGGCAAAGCAAACAGAUCAAAUGCUUUCCAGUCAGCAAAUAGAAAUCCUGCAUUUUUCAGUUGCACCGCUUUCUACAAAGGGCCAAUGUAAAGGUUUAAAAUCAGACUUUCUAACUGAAAAGGAGCCACCUACUAUGUAUUACCAAAUAGAUCAAUUAUAACUUCAGAAGAUAUAUUUUUAAAAUCAUGCCUAACAGCUAAAGAAGGUAUGCAUUUCUCUGUCUAUACACAUUUGUCGAUGUGCGAUGUGCGCUGAUGGGAAUUCUGCCCUGCUGAGACCUUGAAAACCUGUUUGCUAUCAAACACUGCCCCAAAAUAAAAUGUUUUAAGUUCUGUAAGGUCCUAUGGAAUAAAAAGUCCUUUGAUUAUGACUUACUUUAUUCAAUAGAUGAACACAAAAAUAUCUUUUUA